rnacentral:miRNA from 1 species
CAAGUUAUUUUAUAUAUGUGUGUAUGUAUGUGUGUAUAUACACAUAUACACAUACACACACACAUACACACAGGGUUAAACAUCAGAUAU